rfam:Triticum aestivum genome assembly, contig: Triticum_aestivum_CS42_TGACv1_scaffold_527033_6DL
GAUAUACUCCCUCCGUCCGGAAAUACUUGUCAUGAAAAUAAAUAAAAGGGGAUGUAUCUAGGCGUAUAUUAGUUCUAGAUACAUCCCUUUUUAUCCAUUUUGAUGACAACCAUUUCGGACGGAGGGAGUAAUUU